CCUACGGGAGGCAGCAGUGGGGAAUAUUGCACAAUGGGCGCAAGCCUGAUGCAGCCAUGCCGCGUGUAUGAAGAAGGCCUUCGGGUUGUAAAGUACUUUCAGCGGGGAGGAAGGGAGUAAAUUUAAUACCUUUGCUCAUAGACGUUACCCGCAGAAGAAGCACCGGCUAACUCCGUGCCAGCAGCCGCGGUAAUACGGAGGGUGCAAGCGUUAAUCGGAAUUACUGGGCGUAAAGCGCACGCAGGCGGUUUGUUAAGUCAGAUGUGAAAUCCCCGGGCUCAACCUGGGAACCGCAUCUGAUACUGGCAAGCUUGAGUCUCGUAGAGGGGGGUAGAAUUCCAGGUGUAGCGGUGAAAUGCGUAGAGAUCUGGAGGAAUACCGGUGGCGAAGGCGGCCCCCUGGACGAAGACUGACGCUCAGGUGCGAAAGCGUGGGGAGCAAACAGGAUUAGAUACCCGCGUAGUC
rnacentral:rRNA from 1 species